rnacentral:lncRNA from 1 species
CUGUGAUAACAGUUUAUGUUUUACUUUAUUUGUUAUUUUUACCUUUGUCUUUUUUUUUUAUCUAACCCAUAUUUUAAUUAACUUUUAAAAACUUUAAAAAAAAUCCAAGAUUUACCCACUUUUGUAAAUACUCCCUAUUACCCAGUAAGGGGUGUUCCUAAGAUAGGAAGCUUAUACUUAAGAAAGAAAGACAACAAUCCAAUAAAAGAACAGAAAACAGCUCAAGGCCACCAAUGGGUCUCCAACACAGCAAGAAUUCAGUCCUUUUUCCAACAAAUCUAUGGCCAUAUCAAAAUAACAAAUAAUUCAUAAAUAUGGACUUUAUUCUUCUUUAUAUAACCACAUAUAACUUGUUUAUUGUAACAAUCCUACUGUUUUAUUCUUCACAAUAUAAAAUCAAAGCUAAAUAAUGAGUUUGCAUGGGGUUUACCAUUUCUAUACAAUCCUGUCUACUCUGUUAAUAAUUCAAUUCACCUGAUUGAUAGGAGACAUAUCAAGGUUUGUUUUCUUUAUAAACCUGUCUACCGUGACCAUUUCAGUUCUUACCUGUCUACUGUGUCCAUUUCAAUUCACAAUGGUAGACAUUUAUAGUUAAUUCCUUUAGUAUAGGUGGUAAAAAAAUACCUUUAUUAACUAGAAAAUAAAUUAUGACAAAAUAUCACAACUUAUUCUUUAUGUUUAUCAAAUUUGAAAAAAACCUCUUCCAAGAUUUGUUUAAGGUGGAAAACUUUAAAAAAGGAAAAGAAAUGUUUAAUUU